rnacentral:lncRNA from 1 species
AGCCGGGCCUCUCCCCUGUGCACGCCGCGCACCCUGAGCCCUAGCCCCGCCAUCAUCAACUUCACCUUGCAGAACCUGGGCCUGAUCAGCAGCCCGGUCCAGACGCCGGUCCAGACUUUACUGCAGACCCCGGGCAGGACCCCCGGGACCCCGCUCAGCUCCAGCCCCCCCAUCUCGCUCCUCUCACACAGGGCGGGGAUGGUCUUCAUCAAACCUGUGUCUCCGUUACAAGUGCAGAGCGGCGGGCAGCAGAUGGCGCUCAUCAGCCUACAACAGCCUCUGACCGCGACCCCGACGCCCUCCUCGUCGCCCGGAUUCUUCCGAACACCCGUAUCCCUGACGCCGCUCGCCUCCGUCACCGGGGCGACGGAGUCCGGCACGGCCCACGCCAACCGUGCCAUGUUCGUGGCUCAGCGGAAACUCGACAUCAGCGCGGAGGACUCGUAAAAAACACUUCCAGAGGACAAUUUCAGAGAACGUUGAGGAUGAAAUGUGGGGGAGUAGCAGGAACUGUAUAUUUACAAAUUGUGGUGUUUUAUCAGCUGAUAAAUAAAACUAAAUGUAAAUAAAUUAUGAUUAAUAUAAAGUUAGGCUGUAACAGAGGUGUCUGAACCUGAUUUACUGAAGGCCUCUUAUUAAAGUGAUAGUCUGUAAGUUUAAAUGUUUUGCAUAGAAUGGAGCGAGCUACCUGAAAUUUGACAUAACCUAUAGAGGUCGACUGAUAUAGGUUUUUCCAAGGCCGAUGCCGAUAUGCUUUGCCGAUAUUUUUGGCAGAUUUUUUCCAAAUGUCUGGUCUAUAAUCCUGUACAAAAACAAAUACUUGGCCCCUCCAGUCGUGGCCCGUUUUAUUUUAUUACGGAUUCAAUCAUAGUUUCUGUCCCCGCUUUGAUUAGCUGCCGUUAGCAUUAGCAUUCUACUGUUAGCAUUAGCAUACUGCUGCUAGCCGCGCCAUUUUGCACGGCGAUCAAAAAUACAAAUGCAGAGGUUAAAAUAACUUGGAGGGAAAAAAGUGUCCAAGGCACUCUGAGAGGUAGGAUAAAAGUCCUUUAUUAAAGGGACUAUAUGGAGUUUAAAAAUGUUAAAAUCAUGUAUUUUCCUCCUCCCCCUACAUGUUCCAGCCAUGUCCUAAUGUGUAGAAUGAGCCCAGACCUGUUCACCACAACUGCCUCUAAAAUCCUGCACUGUCACUCAGAAAGGUGUUAAUUCAGGUACGCGUAAGUCCUGAGGUGGCAGUAGUGAGUAUUUAAAUGACCAACUUGCAUCUAGUACCUUCAAGCAGGCAUGACCCUACCUCUCAGAGUGUUGGACACAUUUUUUUCCCUCUAAGUCCAUGUUUUCAAGGUUUUUGUCCUCGAAGAGCACCUGAACAUUUUCUACAGCUCUGGACCCACUGAUGCACUCAUCUUUAAUCUUGAUUGUUAAAACUAACUUGAUUGAAUUCUCCAGGUUCUGUACUUCAAAAUGACAUGUCAGGUCCAUAUUCACUGAGGUUUAGUGAAACUAACUAACUUAAGUCAAACUUGGAGCUAACCAAUUUUCAUUGCAUUGUCAGUUCCCCUGAGGCCUAGGGAGUUGUGGGAGGACUCGUUUUAAAGCCCUGACUUCGCUCUUUCCAGGUCCGUUCCCGGAGAUAUCGGCUUAUAUCGGGGUUAGAUCAGCCAAUAGCUGAUAUAUCGGUUGACCUCUAAUAACAGGUAACAUUAAAUACAUUUCUCUAAAGUCCCUCCCUUUGCUGAUCUCAGACACUAAUCAGAAUCCCCGGUGCCAUCACUUCGACCAAUGAGACGAGCUUUUCCUAUGAAGCCGUCGUGUUGCUGUACAGAGGGGGAUUCAGGCACAUUUUCCUUUACUUAUUUUGAACACUUAAGUAUUUUCCGCUGCAGAUACUUCAGCACUCGCAGCAACUUUGACUUUUAUUGGAGUAAUAUUUGACAGUAGUAACUGGAGCAAUGAAACCAUGUACUUUGAGUUAACGAUGUGACUGAAAUCAAAAGUCACUUUUAAAAUGCUCCGAUACGCUCCUCUUUAUUUCAGAUCAGUGUUUUAAUCAAAGAAAACAGCGUGGACAAGUAUUAUUUUCAUUUUUAGACCUUUUAUUUUUUAGUUGAUUUAGUAUUUCCUUUCUAAUCUUCCCUCUGUGGUUCAGCUCUUGUAGGUGAUCUGGAGUUGCACAUAUGUACAUGUCCAAAAUGUGAAUAUUUGUGUCGAAUCACAUUCCGAAUAAUUUAUAAAAGACUUGAUGAAACUGGUGUGAAUUUAUGUGAAUAAAUGCUUUUGUAAAAGUGUAGUCUCUUGUUUUGGAUAUAUUUCUUAACCCCUUAACACCCGCCUUAACCGAAACAUUUUCUCCAGUUCGGCCAGUGCCUCAUUUGAAAGCUAAGACCGCAAAACUGAUCUAAAUUGAUCUUUUUCCUCGCUUUGUUGUUGCAUACAGGAGGUGGUCUUUACCCUUCACUGUCCGACAGGAAGUUAGCCAAAAAACAGUCCAGGGGUUACCGAGCGGUUUUUAGUUAUUUA